CUUAUUUAGAGGAAGUAAAAGUCGUAACAAGGUCUCCGUUGGUGAACCAGCGGAGGGAUCAUUACCGAGUUUACAACUCCCAAACCCAUGUGAACAUACCUACUGUUGCUUCGGCGGCAGACCCCUCUGGGGCCUAGCCUUUACGGGUACCCCGCCGGAGUCCUACAAACUCUUGAUUUUUUGGCAUCUCUGAGUAGCUUAUAAAUAAGUUAAAACUUUCAACAACGGAUCUCUUGGUUCUG
rnacentral:misc_RNA from 1 species